GCAUUUGCCAAGGAUGUUUUCAUUAAUCAAGAACGAAAGUUGGGGCUCGAAGAUGAUUAGAUACCAUCCUAGUCUCAACCAUAAACGCUGCCGACUAGGGAUUGGUGGAUGUUGAUUGAUGACUUCACCAGCACCUUAUGAGAAAUCAAAGUUUUUGGGUUCCGGGGGGAGUAUGGUCGCAAGGCUGAAACUUAAAGGAAUUGACGGAAGGGCACCACCAGGCGUGGAGCCUGCGGCUUAAUUUGACUCAACACGGGGAAACUUACCAGGUCCAGACAUAAGUAUGAUUGACAGAUUGAGAGCUCUUUCUUGAUUCUAUGGGGUGGUGGUGC
rnacentral:rRNA from 1 species